AAAGCGACCUCAGCUCAGGCGGGGCUACCCGCUGAUUUUAAGCAUAUCAAUAAGCGGAGGAAAAGAA
rnacentral:rRNA from 1 species